AUGGAGCUCCCUCCUAUCAGAAGGGCACCGAACACGCCACCCGUGCGGCUCUGCCCCCAAGGGGAAAGAAGAAGGGCGGCGGCGAGGGCCAAUAGCACCCUUCCCUCCGCCGCGCCACCGCCCUGCGGGACGCCCCCGGCCCCUCCAGCAGCGGUGGCGGGGGGCACGACGAGGCCUCCCCCGCGACCACCAGAGGGCGCCCGCCGCCGGCUCGGCCCCCGCCUGCCCCCUCCCCGCCGCCCGGGGCCGCACAACUUGAGCAAGUUUCCGUGGCUCGCCCCCGCACGCCGCGGCCCCCCGCCGCCCCUCGCCCGCCUCCCCGGUUUCUUCAUGCCGUGUUCCCCGCGGCUUCACCCCCGUUUUACCCGCAGCGGCGUCCAGCAGCGUCCCCUCUCCCUCGAUGCUGGUUCCGGGACGAGGCGGGGGACCCGGAAAUACCAUGAAUGCCAAUCCCAGCAAGAUACAAUUAAGCAAAAUAAAGAAGAAAUGUUGAUACCUGCAAAACACAAAAACAUACAUAGCUGCAGGCAACAGUAGUAGGAAGAACAUUCCAGUUGACGGUGGACACCAAGAAUCUGAACUUGUAAUUUAACUAAAAUUUCAAUAUUUUGUACCUUUCUAUGGCAGUCCAUUUAAAUGAAUGAAUGUUAUUGUUCCAGAUAUGCAUAAUAACUUGUUUUUCCUUUAUUAUUGGAAGGCUGGGCAUUGAGAUUUGUAGUAGCUCCUUCUCUCAACUAGCUUCAAAUCACAAAUUCCACAGAGUGUGGAGAGAAUAUAUUAAAUAUACAGAGUCCAGACAAUACUGUCAUUUGAUUCUGGGAAGCAGCCAAAUCUCUGACAUUGCAGUUGCAUUAAUAGAACUCUCCAUUGUGUUGAACAUAUGCUUCUCAACAGGCAGUAUAGUAUUGUUUACGAUAGACAGAUACUGCAAUUAUUUGCAGAACUUUAUUUUUGCCCAGAAAAAAAUGUAAGAUUUGACCUGACAACAGACAAAGAUCAAAAUCAAGAUAAAAAAAUCAAGAUAUUUUACUGCCCCAGUAUAGAUUUAGAAUCUUAUUUUUAGGUAUUCCUUAAAGCAUCCUGGUUUCCUUUGUUUGUGUUUUCUUGCAUUUGCCCCACAUACAUUUACAACGGUUUUCUAGAAACAGGGAUCCAAAGUUUCUGAAAUACUUUAAUUACCUAUUGAAAUGUCUAAGUAACUCAAAACCGAUUAAGCCAUUUAAAAUACUACAGGUAUAUAAAAGCACAAAACUAAGUGAAAGUUAGGUUUUCAUGUAUAAAGUAAGGUUAAAUUUGCUUAAUGAGUAAAACAUUGCCAAUCCUAACUGACUGCAGUUAUCAAAUCAGUAUUCCUAAAAUAGGUUUCUAACUCUCUGUGCAUUACAAAGCAAUAUUAGCAUGACUUUUUCUCCUCUGCAUUCACUCCUACAAAGAGAUGGGAUUUUUGAUUGGUUUAUUUCUUGUUUUCACUUUUGUGUGUGUGGUUGAUUUUGAUUCUGUUUUGUUUAGUUUGUUUGAUUGUUUUAAUUUUUAAAUAUUCCUUUUACAGCGUGUGGCUGUACCUGCCUAAGAAACAACUGCAGAAAUAAAAGUGUAUUACAACAUGUAGCCUGCUGUGUAGAAUCUCUGAAGAGAAGGAUUUAUUUUAAAUGGAGAUUAUCCUUUCAUGAAGACAGAAGUGUCUCAUUUCAUGAUGUGUCCGAGGGUGUAAGGUUCAAUAAAGACUUACAGACUUCAUGUGGAAUCUGGAAACUUGACUACUUUUGGCAAGAGGUGGAGAGUCCUGCUUUCUUUCAAAAUAUCAUGACAAUAUGGCUUUCUUUUCAGAAGGUGAAAGCACUCAUCUGUAAUGUUGCAAACAUUGACCUUAGUUAUUUUCUCUCUCUAAAUAGAUAUAUGUCUGUAGUCUCCUCUCAGGAGAAUAUCCUAAUCAACAAGGGCUGGGGCUCUCAAGCCCUCCUGUUCAAGUUUCAUAAGACAUUUUUAAGAAAAAGGAGGAGAAAGAAUACCUCUCUAAUUUAAUAGUUAAGAAACUUGCCCUUGAAUAGAGAAACCUACAUCUACAUCUAGAACAAAAGUAAUGCACUAACUUAACUUUAAAUUCUGAAGAGUCUAGUUUGACAUCUGGUCAAAGAAAUGGUUUCUUAUCUUGAAAUAUAAGAACAUUG
ensembl:lncRNA